rnacentral:tRNA from 1 species
GGUAUAGCUCAGUGGUAGAGCGCUCCCUUAGCAUGGGAGAGGGCUGGGGUUCAAUUCCCCAUACC